rnacentral:tRNA from 1 species
UCGGUAGUUCAGCUGGUUAGAACGCUAGCCUGUCACGCUAGAGGUCGUGGGUUCGAACCCCAUCCG